CGGCACCGUCCCGGGCUACUGGUUCACCGUCGCCCUCAUCGACGUCGUCGGACGCUUCACCAUCCAGCUGCUGGGGUUCUUCAUGAUGACCGUCUUCAUGCUCGGCCUCGCCGUGCCGUACCACCACUGGACGACGCCGGGCAACCACAUCGGCUUCGUCGUCAUGUACGCCUUCACCUUCUUCUUCGCCAACUUCGGGCCCAACAGCACGACCUUUAUCGUGCCCGCCGAGAUCUUCCCGGCGCGGCUGCGGUCGACGUGCCACGGCAUCUCCGCCGCCGCGGGGAAGGCCGGCGCCAUCAUCGGGGCGUUCGGGUUCCUGUACGCGGCGCAGAACCAGGACAAGAGCAAGGUGGACCACGGGUACCCCGCGGGCAUCGGCGUCCGCAACUCGCUCUUCGUGCUCGCAGGGGUCAACAUGCUCGGCUUCAUACUCACGUUCCUCGUGCCGGAGUCCAAGGGGAAGUCGCUCGAGGAGAUGUCCGGCGAGGCCGACGACGGCGAGGAGGAGGCCGUCGGCGGCCGCGCGGUGCGGCCGUCCCAGACCCAGAUGGUGUAGUAUGACCGUCCGUGGUGAUUGGUGAUACGUGUAGGCCGGUUCACUUGUUUUCGUUUUCCAUGUAGAAAGUCAAACCUGCUGUUUCACAUGGGCAUCUGUUAUUUUUAUCUCUAUAUAAAAUAUAAAAAAGAAAAUAUCAAGUACACAAAUACAUUGGUGAACAU
rnacentral:lncRNA from 1 species